GGGCUGAAAAUCGUCGCCGUACGACCAAAAAAGUCUACGACGAGAACGAAAACUAGAUCGUCAUCGUUGCUCGUUCCACAUCGGAUGACUCAUUCAAGCCAGCGAAUCGUCGUGAAGGGCUUGCGUCGUGAAGAAAACAAAAUCUUCAUUCGCUUUGUUUUGCUCUUCGACCAAGUGCAUCUAGCCGACGGAGUCAAUGUUGCCACCAGCAACACACAAAAAAAAAAGAUUUUAAUAAAAAAAUAUUUGUACCUGGAAUCAAACAACGAACCUCUAGAUUGCCAAUCCAGCACUCUUACCAACUGAGCUAGUCAGGUUUCACAUCAUCGUAAGUGCCGAAACGCCAAUAAAAGCUAUUCCUAGUUGGCGUUCGCUUGGCCCGUCGUCGCUCAUUUCCAGGGAACAAAGAGGACGACGGAAAAGUUGGUGGGUGACUAUUUAUGAUUGAGCUUCGUCGUGACGCCCGCAGUCGGCGACGAAAAGGCUAAUCGUCACCGUUGUUCUUUCGGACGAAGAUUGUUUUAUUGUUAUCUUCACGCAGUGGUGACGAGAAGGACGAUUGUCAACCCUGCUCCUAGCGUUACAUUUAUCUGCCAUAUGCAAUUAUAUAAAUCGCGCGGUCGUCCAGCACAGACACGUGGAAAAAGUUGAACCUGCUAUUUUUGCAAAGUUUUUUUUUUUGGUUAGAGUAAUAAAUGUGCAUAUAUGAGGAAAUGGAACAUCGAAACAGUGUGCCCGUAAGAUUCGGCAGGUUGUUGGGAGUUGAUUGACUAAAAAGUAAACGCGCAAAAAGUAAACAGUGCCUAGUUCGCGUUUUCGUUGUGCCAUCCGUCGUAGCUCCGAGUUUAUGUACGGAGGGUGAAGCAAAGUGAGAAUCGCGCGUUAAUUUUCGGUAAUUCUCUCUAUUUUUUUGGUUUAUCCAUCGUUUGACGAGUUCGGAGACUCAGCAAGUGAUGUGAACUAGUGAACAAUUGAUGUGGUUUGGAGGGCAUCCUUAGCCUGUUGGAUGUAGGUGCCAAAGACAAAAAUAAUAAACCAGCUAAAUAUGAUUAUCCGGUGAGUUCGAUCAUUGUUGUUCUCUUUUUUAUUUGAACAUUACAUAUCUUCACUAACAAGAGGCCAACUAAAAAGUGCUGCUUGCUCAUAGAAAAAAAGGAUGAUGGAUAGGUCCCAAAAUCUUAGAAAUGGGCUCUGAUAUCACGUAUUUUAUUUUCUUAUGAUUUUAGCUUGCAUCGUUUUAUUAAUCUAAUUAAAAGCAUUUGGGACCGACGACGACGGAAUCAUAAAAGUAAUUCUUAAUUCCAUGAAUUCUAUGCAUGGUUCCAUCUCCCUUAACCAUGAUUUUAUGAAUUUGACUGAGAAACAUUGAGGUCCGACGACGACGGAAUCAUAAAAGUAAUUCUUAAUUCCAUGAAUUCUAUGCAUGGUUCCAUUUCCCUCAACCAUGAUUUUAUGAAUUUGACUGAGAAGCAUAUAGGUCCGACGACGACGGAAUCAUAAAAGUAUUUUUUGAUUCCAUGAAUUCUAUGCAUGGUUCUACCUCACCAAACCAUAAUUUUAUGAAUCUGGUGGUAAAGCAUCAGGAUCGGUAUCCAGGUUUAUGAAAAUUAUUCUUGGCUUCAUGAAUGCUACUCAUGAUCCCAGCUUAUUUAAUCAUAGCUUCAUGAUUAUAUUUUCCAUUUUUGGUCGUCGAAAGCCAAAACAAUAACGGGUUCAUAGCGUUAUGGUGAAAUCAAUCAUAAGAUCAUAAAAUUUAAUCAUGGUGUAUAUUUAUAACAUAAAAUCAUAAAAAUAUCGGGAAACUAUGAGUCAUAUUCAUGGUCUUGGGAAUGGAUUUUUUUCCGUGUAGGUCUCCUAUGAUGAUGUUGGGCAGCGGACGUACUCGCGUGUGAGCUACGCAUUCUUUCUUCGAUCGACCACCAAGCGAUCCCGCGCUUCUGCAUACCGCACAGCUCGCGUGUAUUAUCGCUCUAUUAGAUGGCAUGAUUACCUGUAAACCAUAGUUCCCGUGCAACACACCUCCUACAACGCUACAAUGCCGAAUCUGCGGUCCUUCAGUGCAUCAGCGAGUAUGCGGGUGCUCCCGAUGAAAUAAGAGAUCUGUAGUUCCAUGUACAGGGUUUCCAUUCGCAAAUCCUUUUCCGUUGCAUAGAUCAUUGGAUCUGUUUCGUAUAUGUACUUGUCUUGCUUUCUUUUGUUUGUUUUUAUGGCUCAGUUCCAGCAACUGCACCUUACAGCUGCACCCUAUCUUUUUAGAGGACCAAGGUGCACAGUUGAGCACUCUAUCUCACGGACAUUGUAGAUCAGCCGCUCUUAACAUGGCGAACAGAGGCUGUCCUAAAAUGGCAAGGUAGGGACAGGAGUUGUUGGGCAGACUGAUCUGAAUGAAAUGGGAUCAUGGUAAAGAUAUACAAAAUCAAAAUUGUUUUUCUUUUAGAUCCGCCGCAGAUUCUUUGCAAGUUCCUUAAAACAGAUUUUCCGAUAAGAUCUUUUGCGAGUUCCAAAUGAGAUCAUUGUCAUAAAUAUUUCAUUCGACAUGUUGUCUUUAGAAAUUUUUGACUAGAACCAGUUGAUAUGAUCCUCGCUUUAAAAUAGCACGGAUCAAUCUUACUGUGAUGAAGAAAUCGUCCAUAACAGCAUCAUGAAGGGUUUAUGUGUAGAUGAAAUAAAUCUCCUGAAAAGAUCUAACUGCCGUACAAUAUACGAAUAGAGAAUUACCGAAUCCGCUGUAGCACAUACAUGUCGAAUCCCAAACGUUAUUACAGUUUGGAAGUAAUGCUGCAAAGUAGAAGUAUUUGUGAUAAAACGUAACUUCAACACCCACUAUGAUCAAAUCGUUCUCACGUUUUAGUUCCGAGCGGCGCUAAUUUGCCACUCAAUUUAAUUAACAAUGCAUUGCAAUUGGUCGCACGAGUUUCUUUUUGACUCUUGCUUUUCGCACGAAUGUGCGGACCAUCUAGGACUGACCAUAAAACGUGAAGAUUAUUGCCAUUUUUGUCGUGAUGACUUUGUUUGCCGAACAAGUUAGAAAAUCAGACACACUCCGGUGCUCAUCCUGGGUGGAGACUUUGCGCUCCGCUUAGUUGUUUCAACAGAACGAAUACAACACUUCUGAGUCCGAUGGUUGAGGCGCAGAUUCACACGCUAAAUGUGGCUCACACAGAUGUGAGUCGCACCACUUUCUAACGAUAUAUUCUAUAAACGAAAAUGGCUUUAUUUUCUGCGUAUCAGUAUCCUUACAUUUAAAAAAUCGUCCAAAGGUAACUUGAGUACUAUAUCUUAAUGGUUAAAAAAGAGGAGAGCAAGAAUAUAAACAUUUCAACUUGUUACUGUAACCGCCACAAUUACGCUAACGACUAUGGUAAAAAUAUCUAGCGUGCAGCGCAAAGAAACAACUCAACAAAUAUAUGAACGAGCAAAUAGACGCAUUUCCGACGAUGAUGUUGCAAACUGGGAAUUGUGAGAAUGGAAUAAUUUUUCCCUAUCAGAAGGAUCCUCCUGCAUCAAAACACACAAGCCAACCGAACGAGCGAGUCAGCCGCACAACGUGAACGUGGCCGUAACGAACCGAUGCGAUGUGAGGACGACUACUGAGAGUGCUGUUGAUAUGCUUCCGGAAGCAAACAAUGUUAUGAGUUAUUUUAUUAAAUUGAUUUAUUUAUCCUCACGAUGCUUGUGUCUACUACGCAGAUCACAAGAAACGGUGCACGAAGUGGGCUUCUGUUUUAUGAUAAUUUCCAGUGGGUGGAAAAUGAUGCAUUGGUUUGAAAGCAGUGGAAUAUGUGAUGCCAAUGUGGGUUAUACCAUUGGAUUUGUUUUGCAGGGAGAUAUCGGAAUAUCGUUGCAAUCUUGUUCUCAAAGCUUUCUUCCUUCGGCAUCCCCUGGAUGGACCCAAUUUAUUCGACUGCCUAUCGAAUAUCAUGAUAAUUUCAAUGAGUUAAAUAACAUAUAAGCUAGUACGUGGAAGAAACCAAUCUCUCAUUAUUACGCCUUCAAAGAAAUGUGACUUCAAUUAGCGUUCGAAAUUGCAGUCAACUACUCACCAUACAAAGCUACACAAGUUCGCAACAAACACACUUAAUGAGGCUAAUCAACAGCCAAGAGAGCCGCACUAGAGGAUGAUCCUGAACAAAUGAGCUACUGAAAAGUCCUAAUCACCAUCACUCUAACUUCUCGAAAGCUUUACCUUUCAUUUCCCAUUAACGAAGACAAGCGCAAACGUGCUGCACGGUAGCUUGUGAUGACAAGAACUAUUCUCACCCAAACUGAGUCACUGUUGGACGUCGUUGCAAGUUGGAACUUGAUGGAACUGACUGGUAAUCGGUACACACACAGGCUUUGCCUCUUACUGACCUGUUCGAUAUCGUGAAAGUUCUCAGUACGAUUAUAGCAUGUUGGAGAGCCACAUCCGCCGGCGAUAUCGGUCACAGGGAUAUACAUAUUUGUAUAAUGCUGCUCAGUGGCACACGUUGUUUUUCAAUGGGAUCGAAAGAACACGUUGCGUCGUCGCCAUCGUUGGUAGAUUUGAGACCAUGCUCCCAGGAUACUGGCUCACAUGUACUAGAUACACAAACUGUUUGUGAGUGGAAUGAAACUAGAGCUCUGUGAUUAUUUGAUGCACAAAUGAAUACACACACGUGCAUACGUUGCACCCAGCGGCGGCGGCGGCGACGAGGACGACGCUCUCAUGGUGAUGGUCAUGCCGUUCGCCUCCGCAGCAGGUGCGAUUGCAUCCCAUCAUCGCACUUCCAGAGCAUGCACCUCAAUAAGGAACGGAGAGUGCUGAGUGAAUCUCCUCUCAUUUCUCUAUGCGUUAAUUGCUCGUUAGGCUAAUUUGCUGUUUGAUUACCCAGCAUGGUAGCUAUCUCUUCCAUUCCAUGGGUGGUGGCUCGAAUGAUUCGCCGCAGGACGACGGCACAUCAUGAAUCUCCCCAUCGCAGGAAGGUACGGGGAUCUAAUCUAGGUGUUACUGAAUGCAUUUAGCUUUGGGCAGGAUGCAGGCAUUGACUGGAAUAAUGAUUGCAUCUUCUCCUCGAGUAUAGGACCAACACCAACAUCGACAGUCACUUGACGAAAGGAUGCGGUGGAAAAUCAGUGAAUAAUUCUCGAAGGAAAUUGGAGCACGUAUAGUUUCCGGCUAUUUUUCGAGAAGCAUGUUGUAAUGAUAUCUUUACUUCUACUGCACAGCCUUGCGUAUAGCAAGACGUAUUUAAUUUGUUCAAGAGUAAGCAAAUGACUUACUCUUGUACCGGAUUUUCGAACCCUCUAAGCAGAAUAAUGAGUGAAAUGAGUUUUUGUAUGUUUUGAUUCCGCCCUCCCGAGCAGAAGGGAAUACCUUACAAAUACCAUGCAAAGAGCAACCUGUACUAUAAGGCCUAAAAUUGUUAUUGAUUUGUUGUUCAACGAUAUGUUGAAAGGACAUAACAAUAACAAUAUUUGUACAGAGGAUGGUAUUUAUGUGGUAUUUUUUUUUUUAAUUACUGUGAAAAUAACUUAAGAACAAGUUAUGGUAUUACCUCAAAACGGUAUCGAACAAUUGUACAAUUGAAUAGCAAGAAAUGUUAUUACUUCACUAUUCUAUACCUACUACAUAACAACUAUAGCACUUAAAAUGUCAGGUAUGCAUUCAUUAUUGAAAUAACAAUACUUGUUAUUUCUGAGGUGUUAUUUAUACAAAAUUAUGGUAUUCGUUUUCGUUAUUUUGCCUCUUAUGUCAACCUAACGUAGGGAAUAUCAAGGUAUAGGGUAAGUGUACCAAUUAUGGCUAUAGUACCAAUUAUUCGCCAUAGUUAAAUUUCACCCUUUAACGAUGUAAAUCAUCAAGAAAAAAUUUGUGAACACAGAUCACGUUUACAAAAGAUAGUCGCACUCAAUUAAACUCCACAUUUCCCUCAAAUCAUGGUAAAUCAUUUUCCUUGAAUUUCGGCUUCCUCACACCCUUUUUCGCAAUAGUGUACCAGUUAUGGCUAACCCCAUAAGGAAUGCAUGCAAAUAGUGCGGUUAAAAAUGUAACCAUAACUGGUACAGGGUUCCUAUCAUUGGCACACGCUGUAAUCAAUACUAAAAGUAGUUUUGGCUCCGUUUCUAUAUUUUUCCUGUAAAGUAUGGAAACUAAGCUGUCUUUUAACUUAUUGAUUACAUUCGUUGGUCUUCUCGUUAUUUUUGUAUAAAUAGCUUUCCUUGGGUAGAGCCAUAAUUGGUACAUUCACCCUAACGGUAUUUAUUCAGGAUUAAUACCUUGAUAUGCAAAUGUUAUACUUUUCUGCUGGGGCUCUAAUGUCUAAUCUUUGACAGAUACGCGUAUCUCGACUAUCACUUGCAGUCUUUCUCAGUGUCAGUUAUCCACUGAAUAGACUACGUGAUGGAUGAAAUACGCGUAUCUGUCAAAUCAUAAGUAAGCAUUAGAUAAGGAAUUAAAAGGUACAAAAGUAAUUUCAAUCAAUUGAAAAAAGACUAUUUUGUGAACACUUGCAUUAGAAUGCUAAUAACGAUGUCUAGACACAUUUCUGACUUGGUUCUCGGCACUCUUCGAAGUUUUCCAAUUGAGCCCCAAAAAUACUCACAGAACAGUGAGAUAAAUUAGUUCCAUAGGUUUGGCUAGGCUUUUUAACAUACUCUGAGGUGUAUAACUGAUCUGACAAACAUCUGACAACAUUUCAUACAAAAUUGUCAAUUUUGAGGUGCUAUACUGCCGUUCUAAGUACAGGGGAUACUCAAAAUAACUGGGACAGGCAAAAUUUUCACUUUUCAAAAAAUGUUCAAUUCGCUGUAACUUUUCGAAAAGGGCAUCAAAUAUUCUCAAAUUUUUACUGUAAGCUCAUCAACUAAUUGUGUAUCAGUGGUCAAAAUUUGGGAAGGAUCGGGUUAUUCUACACAAAGUUAUAAAGGUUCUAGAAAAAGGUAUAAUUAUCCGAUAGCCAAUUUUGAGCUGCUAUAUCUCCGGAUUCAAUGCACCGAAUGCAAUGAAAUUUUGAUCAUUUAUGACUUAAAUAAUGAACUUUGAAAAUCAGUUGACCUAAUUAUAAUUUCAAUAAGAAAAAAAGUUAUGGCGAUUUAAUUUAUUCCAUUGUUUUUCAGUAAAUUUAUCUAUUUUUCAUAUGCAUCCCAUUACUUUUUCAAUUUAAUGAAGGCUAUUUGGUUGCUUUUCUUUGAAACAUAAAUAUAUUCAAUUCAAUUAGAGGGAAUUUAAAUGAACUAUAAAUACUAUCUUGAAAUUUGAAACGAUGAUGAAGUUUUGGAAAAAUUGGUGUUAUAUUAGAAAAAUAAUCUAAUCGAGAUAAUUUUCUUUCGUGUGAAGAAUUUUAAGUUUAGUCAAAUGUUUUUAAUAGCUUAUUAUAUGCGUCAUAAAUGAUCAAAAUUUCAUUGCAUUAGGUUCAUUGAAUCCGGAGAUAUAACAGCUCAAAAUUGUCUAUCGGAAAAUUAUACCUUUUUCUAGAACCUUUAUUACUUUGUGUAGAAUGGCCCGAUCCUUCCAAAUUUUGACCACUGUUACACAACUAGUUGAUGAACUUACAGUAAAAAUUUGAGAAUAUUUGAUGCCAUUUUCGAAAAGGUACAGCGAUUUGAACAUUUCUUGAAAAGUGAAAAUUUUACCUGACCCAGUUAUUUUGAGUAUCCCCUGUACGUUAUGGUCCAUGUUGUAUGGGAUUCCCAUAUAACAUGGAACAAUUAUGCGGCAGUAGGACGGCAGUGUAACUGUGGUUUAUUUAGAUAAGCUUAGCGCAAAUUGUAGCACGGAACUACAAAUAUGCUGAAUUUUGCUGAGUAGGAAUACUCUAACAUAUUUCACAGGACAUUCAAUGAAGAUCUUUAGAAGCAAAGACAAAGGGUCUUGCUAUGAAUCCAAGAAGAAUUCCAGAUAAGAACCUCUUCAUGAAUUUGCAGGAUCUAGAAACCCGCUGCAUAUCGGCAGGUUCCGUUCUCUUUUCUUGGAACAAAACUUUCUUAUAGAUACGACUGUGAUGUGUUGAUUCGGGGUAAUGGCUUUCAGUCUGUGGCAAUUCUAAACGGAUUCUUAUGCUUUCAUCCGACGUUUCGGACACAUUUAUUGUGCCUUAUUCUUAGGAAUUAUCAAAGUCCCGUUUUGUCGUUAAGGGCCUACAGCAUAGGCACCUUUGUCAACUUAUGUUCCGACAAUUCGCCCACUUCGUUCAAGCCGUGGGCUGAUUUUCGGUGAUGGGCUGAUUUUUCGGAAAUCGAUCCGGCUCGCAGAAAUGAGGUGCAGUCUGUUUCGCGCCACUUAUACACAAGUGUGAAUCAAUUCCUAAGAAGAAGACACAAUAAAUGUGUCCGAAACGUCGGUGUUUUCAUCCGAAGAAUCCGUUUUGAAUUGCCACAGACUGAAAGCCAUUACCCCGAAUUAGAUUACCCCGAAUUAGAACAAAACUGUAUUCGAUUGUUAAAGCCCUUGCUUCGAGAUUAUUCAAUCAUAAACGCCUCGCUUCUUAAUAGAUCAAUUCGUCAGCAUUGAAAAUAUUGAUAUCAUAACCAAUUUCACAGGGUUAUUCUAUGCGUGAUGGAUUGCACUUGAAAUCCGAUGUUCCAUUAUCUAUUAGUCGGCAAAGUACCACAAGACGAUUGCAACUGCAACAAGCCUGGCAUUGAGUGUGGUUUGAAGCUGCAGCAGAUACAUCGUAUCCACUUCAGUGAACCGUGACCGCACGUUCUUCCCUUUCAAGCUUGCUGAUCAUUUGACGGUGCUAUACUCUAUGGUCUACAACCUCAGCUUCACAGCUCCCUCCGUUCUGUCUUUGGCUGAUGGAGAAGUUAAGUAGCUUCAAUGUAGCUCGUGUUGAUUGAUACCAGCUAAAACCAAUUUGGUCUUGUUUCCUCCCUUAUGUCACCCCGGCACCGAAGCCACCAAGAAACUAAAUGCAACGUUGCUGCACACAUUUCCACUCGGUCCAGUACACACUGACUGGACCGAUUGCAAGCUAUAGCCUUGGCACAAUGGCGGCUGUCGUGUUCAUCAAGUACCAAAUAGUGGAGAGCAAUGUAAUACUAGUAUAGAACAAGGUAUAGACCGAGUCUCCUGGCAGCUAGCUUGGCCAUUGUUGAAACUACGGCUCCAUCCAAAUGAAUGCAUGAAAUUAAAAGCAUAUCAAUUUUCAUCACUCAAUAUUUCAAAAUAUUAUUACAGUCGACUUGCAUCUCACAGCUCCACCGAGGCGAGGGUGUAGAACCACUCUCUACAGACUACCCACCCAGCACACAGAGUAUCGAGCGCACUAGGUUCGGGCACGGGAAGCAAUUUGGUCGUUUAAAUGAACGACCAACAAUAUCUCGCUAUAUGAUGGUACCAACUUGCAACUAGUAUAACAACGUUUCCGAUACACAAUGCACUCAGCGCACAAAUGGCUGUGUCCGUCGGACGGUUCACCAGCAAGCAAAGGAGGAAAAUGCAAUCUUAUUACCAUCCAAUCUUCGACCAUUCUCCAAGCAAGCGAACGAUACCCACUUGUAACCCAUCACACUGGCCACACGUGGACACAUCUACGGUACUGUAUAUGGAGAUAUUUUGUAGCGAAUCACUUUUCACCGUUGCAUACAGUUUCCUGUUGGAAGUGCAAAAAUGGAUUUAAAAUUGUCUACAUUGGCCGGUGUAACGAAAAUUUGGACUUUGAGCAAACUUAUUUGUUUCAAUAGUUGUCAAGGUGACAAUUUGAUGGCUGUAGAACAAACUUAUCAUAUGUAAGGUAUGUUGAUGAGACAACUGAAUCAUUUGAAAGGUAGAAGUAGCACUACAAUGAACACCGGCGUUUGAAACAAUCAAGAACUAAUGAGCGGUACGUAAUUAUUUAUUAACCAAUACAACCAGCUAAAAACACAUAAAUGUUUAUUCCCGGCAAAAAUUUUGUCGGUCAACAUUUCACAAAAUUGCAGACUUUUCAAUACGACAUUCCAUGAUAACACGAAUUUAAUAUGUGCCUUUUACCUAUGUAACACAUCAAUCCAAACCAUUAAAAUUCGAUGGCAUUUGAACGUUAAAGUUCACAGAUUUUGAUUCUAGCCGAAACAAUUGUUCAUCAUAUCUUCGUUAAUACCAUAUGCUAUUCACCAAUUUCAAACCGCGCGCAUCCCGCAAUCCCCACAUGAAAAUUGGAUUGAAAAGGAUUAUAUGAAAGCAUGAAUUUUCCGACCACUAUCAGCAUCGCAAAUUGAACCACGGGGAACAAUUUUCAUCGCUGCUACGCUACCACACCCUUCCAUCUCGUAUCGGUACCAACUAACCCAACACAAAUAGCUGAAAAUUGAAAUCAACCAGACAUUAUCAAAAAUCAAUAGCGCCGCAUCGUACUGAGAGGCUUUCUAAUGCCAUCAAUAGUUCGAAUUAUCAGUUAACCUAGGUAACGACACAAUAUCGAUAUUAUCGUCGCUCCGGUGAUGAUGAGCUGCCGCAGCGGCAACUAACAACAACGACGGCACGACACGAUGCGAUGCGGUGCGUGGUGGCCGUCGGAAGGGUUACCCGGUUAUCCGCAUAUAAGCAGCUCGUCAUUCAGGCAGAUAACUAUCAUCGGACAUUAAUUAAGCGCUUCUGGCUUGGGCCCACCCUCCGUCAACCUUGCCCUGACUUUUAGAGCGCUGGGCUCACCGUGAAUAAUCUACGAAAUACCUGUUAGGAAGGAUAGUUUAUACAGGGGAAAGUGAUUUGAACCACAGAGAACUCGACAAGUCGGCGGUAUGAACUUACUUACUAAUGGAAUAUGUCAGUGGUUUCCUAAAUAAAUGAAGGGAUUCUGACGAUAUAUCAUUUCGUAGACUGAUUACGAUAUUUUUCCUACAAUUUUUUCAAUAGAAAGACUCUUCUAAACAAAGAAACUAUAUUCUCAGAAGUCAUUUGAAACUUUUUCAAAAUUGAAUUAGUCUGCUUACUUAUAUGAUGAUAGUGAUGAUGAAUGUGUACCCAUCAUCAACGCAAGGAUUACCUAUAGCUGCAGUCAUACCGCCAUGUUCAAAUAUAAAAGGGAACAACAAGGAACGAACUCACCGGGUAAUCCUAUUGGUUGGUUUUCUGUGUUUGCUUUCGGUGUCAGUUCCAAUAGGUUUAUAAUGCCCUCCAAACCAUAUUGAAUGUUAUUUAACUGUUUUAUUGAUAUUUCUCGGUGAGCCAGAAGUUUCGGCUUACUGCUUUCCUUCAGCCAAUUUCGAUCACCGCAGUAACUUUCACCUCCAUUACCGCUGGGCGGUCACGUGCCCUUGUGUGGCUUAUUCAUAUCUUCAUCUUAAAAGUUGCUCUACAUCAGUGAUCCUCAGCCUCACUGUCUUUGCGGGCCAAAAUUGGAUUUUGAAAAGAGACUGCGGGCCGCAAAUCAUUCAAGAGUUUAUUUUCAACGAUUUUCGAAAUUCAACACAAAAUCUAUGUGUUUAAUUUUUUUGAAAAUAUUGCACAAGAGCAAAGAACUACACAACCUGGAGUUAUCAGGAUAUCUUAUUUUACUUGGAAAAAUCCUAUAAAAAUCGUAGGGAAUCAAAAACAGGGUUUUCAAGACCGCAAUAUUUAAGUUUUGUAGUUCUUGGUAUUGAUAAUGUUGAGCAAAUUUUUCAGACUAUAGUUACUUGAAAGUCAUACUAAAAAUAAAAAAUAGCGAUGCUGGCUAGAGCAAGAGAUAGAGCUGACUAGACCCCUUCAAUAUGGAAGUUCUUCUUCUUCUUCUUUAUGGCUCUACGUCCCCACUGAGACUUGGCCUGCCUCUCUUCAACUUAGUGUUCUUUGAGCACUUCCACAGUUAUUAAUUGAAGGGCAUUCUUUGCCUGCCAUUGCAUGAAUUUGUACAUUGUGAGGCAAGUACAAUGAUACACUAUGCCCAGGGAGUCGAGAAAAUUUUCCCGACCGGAACGGGAAUCGAACCCGCCGUCUCCGGAUUGGCGAUCCAUAGCCUUAACCACUAGACUAACUGGAGACCCC